rnacentral:rRNA from 1 species
GAUCGAACGCUGGCGGCAUGCCUUACACAUGCAAGUCGAACGGCAGCAUGAUCUAGCUUGCUAGAUUGAUGGCGAGUGGCGAACGGGUGAGUAAUACAUCGGAACGUGCCCUGUAGUGGGGGAUAACUAGUCGAAAGAUUAGCUAAUACCGCAUACGACCUGAGGGUGAAAGUGGGGGACCGCAAGGCCUCAUGCUAUAGGAGCGGCCGAUGUCUGAUUAGCUAGUUGGUGAGGUAAAGGCUCACCAAGGCGACGAUCAGUAGCUGGUCUGAGAGGACGAUCAGCCACACUGGGACUGAGACACGGCCCAGACUCCUACGGGAGGCAGCAGUGGGGAAUUUUGGACAAUGGGGGCAACCCUGAUCCAGCAAUGCCGCGUGUGUGAAGAAGGCCUUCGGGUUGUAAAGCACUUUUGUCCGGAAAGAAAUCGCACUUACUAAUAUUAGGUGUGGAUGACGGUACCGGAAGAAUAAGGACCGGCUAACUACGUGCCAGCAGCCGCGGUAAUACGUAGGGUCCAAGCGUUAAUCGGAAUUACUGGGCGUAAAGCGUGCGCAGGCGGUUGUGCAAGACCGAUGUGAAAUCCCCGGGCUUAACCUGGGAAUUGCAUUGGUGACUGCACGGCUAGAGUGUGUCAGAGGGGGGUAGAAUUCCACGUGUAGCAGUGAAAUGCGUAGAGAUGUGGAGGAAUACCGAUGGCGAAGGCAGCCCCCUGGGAUAACACUGACGCUCAUGCACGAAAGCGUAGGGAGCAAACAGGAUUAGAUACCCUGGUAGUCCACGCCCUAAACGAUGUCAACUAGUUGUUGGGGAUUCAUUUCCUUAGUAACGUAGCUAACGCGUGAAGUUGACCGCCUGGGGAGUACGGUCGCAAGAUUAAAACUCAAAGGAAUUGACGGGGACCCGCACAAGCGGUGGAUGAUGUGGAUUAAUUCGAUGCAACGCGAAAAACCUUACCUACCCUUGACAUGCCACUAACGAAGCAGAGAUGCAUUAGGUGCUCGAAAGAGAAAGUGGACACAGGUGCUGCAUGGCUGUCGUCAGCUCGUGUCGUGAGAUGUUGGGUUAAGUCCCGCAACGAGCGCAACCCUUGUCUCUAGUUGCUACGAAAGGGCACUCUAGAGAGACUGCCGGUGACAAACCGGAGGAAGGUGGGGAUGACGUCAAGUCCUCAUGGCCCUUAUGGGUAGGGCUUCACACGUCAUACAAUGGUGCAUACAGAGGGUUGCCAAGCCGCGAGGUGGAGCUAAUCCCAGAAAAUGCAUCGUAGUCCGGAUCGUAGUCUGCAACUCGACUACGUGAAGCUGGAAUCGCUAGUAAUCGCGGAUCAGCAUGCCGCGGUGAAUACGUUCCCGGGUCUUGUACUCACCGCC